UAGGGUUAACAUAAUUUAAUUUGCAUUUAAAGCUUGCCGUUUGGCUAACCUUAC
rnacentral:tRNA from 1 species